CUUGAGACCGGCGCACGGGUGCGUAACGCGUAUGCAACCUACCCUUUUCUGGGGGAUAGCCCGAAGAAAUUCGGAUUAAUACCGCAUAAGACCACGAUACGGCAUCGUGACGGGGUCAAACAUUUAUGGGAGAAGGAUGGGCAUGCGUGCCAUUAGCUAGUUGGCGGGGUAACGGCCCACCAAGGCGACGAUGGCUAGGGGAUCUGAGAGGAUGGCCCCCCACACUGGUACUGAGACACGGACCAGACUCCUACGGGAGGCAGCAGUAAGGAAUAUUGGUCAAUGGAGGCAACUCUGAACCAGCCAUGCCGCGUGCAGGAAGACGGCCCUCUGGGUUGUAAACUGCUUUUAUUCGGGAAUAAACCUGCUUACGUGUAAGUAGCUGAAUGUACCGAAGGAAUAAGGAUCGGCUAACUCCGUGCCAGCAGCCGCGGUAAUACGGAGGAUCCAAGCGUUAUCCGGAUUUAUUGGGUUUAAAGGGUGCGUAGGCGGCCUGUUAAGUCAGGGGUGAAAGACGGUAGCUCAACUAUCGCAGUGCCCUUGAUACUGAUGGGCUUGAAUGGACUAGAGGUAGGCGGAAUGAGACAAGUAGCGGUGAAAUGCAUAGAUAUGUCUCAGAACACCGAUUGCGAAGGCAGCUUACUAUGGUCCUAUUGACGCUGAGGCACGAAAGCGUGGGGAUCAAACAGGAUUAGAUACCCUGGUAGUCCACGCCCUAAACGAUGAAUACUC
rnacentral:rRNA from 1 species